AACUUCCAUCUCUUCAAAUAUUUUACACUAUCAUUUCAGUCGCUCUCUUCUAGAAGAUCAAUCAUACUCUCUGCACAGAAACAAUGGAGUUUUGGGGUACUGAGGUCAAAAGUGGGGAGCCUUUAGUGAUUGAAAUUGGUGGUGACUUCAUCUUGCAUCUUUCACAGGCUUGUCUAGGCGAGGUGAAGAAGGAUAAAGGAAAUGAAUCUGUUUUCCUUUAUGUGAAGAUUAAUGAUAAGAAACAUGUUCUUGGAAUGCUUUCUCCUGAAAAGUUUCCUCAGAUAUCUUUUGACUUGGUGUUUGAUAAAGAUGUUGAGCUAUCCCAUAAUUGGAAAAGUGGAAGUGUAUACUUCAGUGGUUAUAAGAUUGCUCAAGCUGAAUAUCCUUUCUUUUUGUUUUUCUCCUGUCCCACUUUCACUCAUCGAUAUUUAUAUAUGAAAAUGUAUUUACUGUUGCAAUUUCUUAUUUUAUCACCAUCAUGGUUGUUGGUUUAUUUGUUUUGCUUGUUUUCUCCUUAACUACUUUUUCUUGUCUUUUGAUCACAAGUGACGAUGAUUCUGGUGAGUCAUUACAAUAGAUAUUUUUUUCCCCUUUUAAGUAAUGUUUAAUUCUGCAUUUAAUGAUCUUGAGGGAAUCUGACAUUAUUUUGUGUUUUUGAACGUUCAGAGCCCUUGUUUGAAAUUGAAGAGGAUCUUCCAGUUGCUACCAAUAAUGGUAGAGAAGUAGAGUUGAAUUUUGCAUCUAUAUAUAAGCAGGGACACUUUUUUAAUGCAUUUCUUUUCUUUUCCCCCUUUUUUGAUAUUUAACAUUUGUAGGGAAGCCUGAGUCUGAGUCUAAGAAAACAAAGCCUCUCAUGGAAAAGACUAAACCUAAUUCCAAUGAGCCUAAGCAAAAGGUGAAAAUCAUAGAGCCGCACAAAGAUGACAAACCUAAUGAAGAGACAGAUGAGAGUAGUGAUGAUUCUUCUGAUGAUGAUGACUCCAGUGAUGAUAAGGGCAUGACAGCCAAAGGUGAGGAUGAAGAGGAUGACGAAAGUGAUGAUGAGGAUGAUGAAAGUGACGAUGAGGACGAUGAAAGUGAUGAUGAGGAUGAGGAAGAACCAACAAGAUUGAAGGCUGAACAAGGGAAGAAGAGGUCUGCAGAACCUGCUAAAAAAAUCCCCAUUCCUGAUAAGAAGGCCAAAUUGGUUACUCCACAAAAGACUGAUGGGAAGAAAGUGGUUGGUCACGUGGCAACUCCUCACCCUUCAAAACAAAUUGUAAAGACUCCUGCUAACAAGGACCAGAAAAAGGAGCAGACUCUGAAAUCUUUUGCGUGUGCAUCUUGCAACAGGUCAUUUGGCUCUGAAGUUGCUUUACAAUCUCAUACGAAGGCCAAGCACAGUGCUGCACAGUGAGGGACGGAGGUGUAUUGAUUUGAUGUUUUUGUGUUUGUCACAUAAGAGACUGUUAGAUCUAGUAAAUUUCGAAGGAAAGAUUAGUAUAGUAUAUUUUUAGUUAAGCUUUGUUGGGUAUCUUUUGUGGAUCGCAACUGUAUGGUCAACACAUGUUGGAUGAUGACAUGAAUUGGUGUCAAUGUAUUGUUGUGUUGCAUCUGUUGGCUAUAGCUGAAAUCUGAAAUCGAGUGCCCUGUUGUCUUGUUUCACCUUUGUGGCCACACGGUCUACUGAACCCUGGAGCUAUCUAGAGUCAGUUUGGGUGGUGUAAUUUUGCGCUCAAAUGGUUGAAUUUUAUCAGCCAGCAGUGGAUCAAGUAAGCUGGGAAUGAAUGGAUAGCUCCAUUUUUAAAUGGCAAAUGGAUGGAGUAGACCUUGUUAAAGUUUUUCUUUGGUAGGAGGUUCUCAUCAUCAUUGUUAACUUGCACUCAAUAGCAGCGUGUAUGCUGUAUGCAUCUGCUAAUUAAGCAAUCUUCAGUCAUUUCAUGACUACGUUGCUACAUCAAGCAUAAUUGUGAUGGCUGUUAUUCUAGUUUAAC
rnacentral:misc_RNA from 1 species